rnacentral:tRNA from 1 species
UUGGGUAUAGCUUAAUUGGAAAAGCAACAGAUUAGGGUUCUGUGGACUGUGGGUUCGAUUCCCGCUACCAAA